CAGCAGCCGCGGUAAUACCGGCGGCCCGAGUGGCGGCCACUAUUAUUGGGCUUAAAGCGUCCGUAGCCGGGUUGGUUAGUCUCCCGGGAAAUCUGGCCGCUUAACGGUCAGAAUUCCGGGAGAUACUGCCAGCCUAGGGACCGGGAGAGGCCGAGGGUAUUCCCGGAGUAGGGGUGAAAUCCUCUAAUCCCGGGAGGACCACCUGUGGCGAAGGCGCUCGGCUGGAACGCGUCCGACGCUGAGGGACGAAGGCCAGGGGAGCAAACCGGAUUAGAUACCCGGGUAGUCGUGGCUGUAAACGAUGCGGACGUUGUGUCGGACAAGCUAUGAGCUGGUCCGGUGCCGGAGGGAAACCGUUAAGUCCGCCGCCUGGGGAGUACGGCCGCAAGGCUGAAACUUAAAGGAAUUGGCGGG
rnacentral:rRNA from 1 species